GAUGAACGCUAGCGGCAGGCUUAAUACAUGCAAGUCGUGGGGCAGCAUGAAUGUAGCAAUACAUUUGAUGGCGACCGGCAAACGGGUGCGGAACACGUACACAACCUUCCUAUAAGUGGGGAAUAGCCCAGAGAAAUUUGGAUUAAUACCCCGUAACAUAAUGAUGUGGCAUCACAUUAUUAUUAUAGCUUCGGCGCUUAUUGAUGGGUGUGCGGCUGAUUAGAUAGUUGGCGGGGUAACGGCCCACCAAGUCUACGAUCAGUAGCUGAUGUGAGAGCAUGAUCAGCCACACGGGCACUGGGACACGGGCCCGACUCCUACGGGAGGCAGCAGUAAGGAAUAUUGGUCAAUGGACGCAAGUCUGAACCAGCCAUGCCGCGUGAAGGAUUAAGGUCCUCUGGAUUGUAAACUUCUUUUAUCUGGGACGAAAAAAGGCGAUUCUUCGUCACUUGACGGUACCAGAUGAAUAAGCACCGGCUAACUCCGUGCCAGCAGCCGCCGUAAUAC
rnacentral:rRNA from 1 species